UACAGAGGGUGCGAGCGUUAAUCGGAAUUACUGGGCGUAAAGCGCGCGUAGGCGGCUUUGCAAGUCGGGUGUGAAAUCCCCAGGCUUAACCUAGGAACUGCAUUCGAGACUGCAUUGCUAGAGUAUGGGAGAGGGAAGUGGAAUUUCCGGUGUAGCGGUGAAAUGCGUAGAUAUCGGAAGGAACAUCAGUGGCGAAAGCGACUUCCUGGACCAAUACUGACGCUCAUGUGCGAAAGCGUGGGGAGCAAACAGG
rnacentral:rRNA from 1 species